AGUGGCGGACGGGUGAGUAACGCGUGAGAAUCUGCCUUGGGGUCGGGGACAACCACUGGAAACGGUGGCUAAUACCGGAUAAGCCGAUUGGUGAAAGAUUUAUUGCCCGAAGAGGAGCUCGCGUCUGAUUAGCUAGUUGGUGAGGUAAGAGCUCACCAAGGCAGCGAUCAGUAGCUGGUCUGAGAGGACGAUCAGCCACACUGGGACUGAGACACGGCCCAGACUCCUACGGGAGGCAGCAGUGGGGAAUUUUCCGCAAUGGGCGAAAGCCUGACGGAGCAAGACCGCGUGAGGGAGGAAGGCUCUUGGGUUGUAAACCUCUUUUCUCAGGGAAGAAGCUCUGACGGUACCUGAGGAAUCAGCCUCGGCUAACUCCGUGCCAGCAGCCGCGGUAAUACGGAGGAGGCAAGCGUUAUCCGGAAUUAUUGGGCGUAAAGCGUCCGCAGGUGGCGAUUCAAGUCUGCUGUCAAAGCACGGGGCUUAACUCCGUAAAGGCAGUGGAAACUGAAUAGCUAGAGUGCCGUAGGGGUAGAGGGAAUUCCCGGUGUAGCGGUUAAAUGCGUAGAGAUCGGGAAGAACAUCGGUGGCGAAAGCGCUCUACUGGACGGCAACUGACACUCAGGGACGAAAGCUAGGGGAGCGAAUGGGAUUAGAUACCCC
rnacentral:rRNA from 1 species